rnacentral:tRNA from 1 species
GCGGCAGUGGCGGAAUCGGUAGACGCGCCAGCUUGAGGGGCUGGUGGUAGAAAUACUGUGGGAGUUCGAGUCUCCCCUGCCGCACCA